rnacentral:rRNA from 1 species
UACGAAGGGGGCUAGCGUUGCUCGGAAUUACCGGGCGUAAAGCGCACGUAGGCGGCUUUCUAAGUCGGGGGUGAAAUCCUGGAGCUCAACUCCAGAACUGCCUUCGAUACUGGAGAGCUUGAGUCCGGGAGAGGUGAGUGGAACUGCGAGUGUAGAGGUGAAAUUCGUAGAUAUUCGCAAGAACACCAGUGGCGAAGGCGGCUCACUGGCCCGGUACUGACGCUGAGGUGCGAAAGCGUGGGGAGCAAACAGG